CCCUCCUCAGCCAUGUAGCGCGACGGGGCGGGCCCCGCGCCUUUCCCGGGGGCGUCAUUUCCGGCUCAUGCCGGAAGCCACCUCGGAAUGAACCAGAUUUGAACUGGCCAAGGAGAGGUGCUUCCCUGGUUGUGCUGUGGCAGCCUCUUGGAUGUCAGUCGGAACAAUAGAGGAUGCCUAUCCGUGCCCACUGUACCAUCUGCUCGGAUUUCUUUGACAAUCACAAGGAUGUGGCAGCUAUCCACUGCGGACACACCUUCCAUCAGGAGUGUCUCAUCCAGUGGUUUGACACUGCUCCGAGUCGGACUUGUCCACAGUGUAGAAUCCAGGUCAGCAAAAGACACAUCAUCAAUAAGCUGUUCUUUGAUGUUGCCCUGGAGGAGCAGACAUCACUGGAUGCAGAAAGCCUACAGAAUGAACUGGACAAGGUGAAAGCACAGCUCUCUGGGAAAGAGAAGGAGAAGCGAGACUGCCAGUCUAUAAUAGACACACUGAGGGAGACUGUGGAUGUUCACAACGCCACCAUCGAGUCACUCCAGAAAGCCCUGUGUGAGACGGAGAUGCUGUGUUCCACUCUCAAGAAACAAAUGAAGUACCUGGAGCAGCAGCAGGAAGAUACCAAAGGUGCAAAAGAGGAGGCCCGAAGGCUGAGAAACAAACUGAAAACCAUGGAGAGGAUUGAGAUGCUCCUGCAGAGCCAGCGCCCGGAAGUGGAGGAGAUGAUCCGUGACAUGGGAAUAGGGCAGGCAGCAGUGGAACAGCUUGCAGUCUACUGCAUCUCACUGAAAAAGGAAUAUGAAAAUCUGAAAGAAGCUCGGAAGGCAUCUAGUGAGAUGACUGAGAAGCUGAAAAAGGAGCUGUCUUCUUCCAAUAAUAAGCUGCAAAAAACAUUCUUGGAGUUGGAGAAGAUGAAGGAGGACUUAAAAAGCACCCAGAAGGAUCUGAGUAACUCAGACAAGGAGAUAAUGAGUUUGAAGAAGAAGAUUGGAAUCCUGCAGGAGACCCUGAAGGUGCCAUCUGUAACCAGCGAAACGCUCAGCCGACUAGUCUUCGAAAGCCCUGCUCCUGUGGAACUGCUGAGCCCAAAGCUCCACCGCCCGGCCCAUAGCGAUAAGAUCGACCUGGACGCCGCCUUUGAUGUUGAGACGCCUGAGCAACAGCCUCACAAAUCAAUCACAACCCCUGCAAAAAAACCCAAGCUGGAUAAAAAGCCGCCUCCUGUGACAAACAUAGCAAAAAAAGUUCUGAAGGAAACAAUGGAGAACUGGGUAGGUGAGCCAGAGGAUGAUCCUCUAGAAGAAUUCUUUCCUGCGUUCAUCAGGAACUCGGUUCUUUCCCGGAAGCCACCCAUGGGCAGCCUGCUGGGGCCACACAAGAACACAGGAGCUGUGAGAAUGGGGUACGAUGGCUUAGGAGGUAGAACUAAGUUCAUACAGCCCACAAACCCAAUGGAGAUCCGUCCCUUAGCUGUAAAGAGCAGGAAGAGGAACGUCUCCAGGCCAGCAUCCACAACUGCAGCAGCUUCCUCCUCUGGCACGAGCCAGGUGAAACUGGACAGCUUCCUUCAGUAAACCCAAAGGCUUUCCUGGUCACUUAGGCAUGCUUGGGCAGAAGACUUGGGGCUCAUCUAUGUCUCUGCAGAACCAAGACGUCAUAGCACGGCAAGCAUUGAGUCCACUCAGCUCACCCUCGCUGCUGUUGUGUCCUGGGUGCUGCUGUCAGCCAACAGUACAGUAGGUCUGCUAACUGUCGUCAUCCAUCGCUUCCGCUGCAACUCUGCUCUCCUGCAGCCCAGGGGAUCUGUUCUGGUCCUCCUGGGUGCUCCUAACAGUCGUCGUCCACCGCUUCCGCUUCAGCUCUGCUGUCCUGCAGACGCCAUACCACGGCAAGCAUGGAGCCCGCACAGCUCACCAUCACCGCUACUGUUGUGAGCAUUGUAAACACCUCGCACAUUAUCCUGGAGUACAUGCAGAACCGGGCUAAGAGACACCAGCACGAGGAGGAUUUUGAUGAGAACAUGGAAACAGACAUUCCUGAAAGCAUGGGCUGUGACAAUUGGGAGAUCAUGGCGGCAGUGGGGUUGGUUGAGACAGUGGAAUGCUAAGUCUGGGCCAGGCAAACAAGCACAGACUGGUGGGUCCGCAUAGUGUUGCAGGUAUGGGAUGAUUCACAGUGGCUGCGAAACUUUUGCAUGCGUACGGCCACUUUCCUGGAACUCUGUGAGUUACUUUCCCCCAUGCUGAAGCACAGAAAUACUGAGAUGAGAGCUGCUCUGACAGUUGAGAAGCGAGUGGCGAUAGCCCUGUGGAAACUUGCAAUGCCUGACUGAUACCGGUCAGUCGGGAAUCAAUUUGGAGUGGGCAAGACUACUGUGGGGACUGCUGUGAUCCAAGUAGCCAAUGCAAUCACUUGACGUUCUGCUAUCAAGGGUAGUGACUCUGGGAAAUGUGCAGGUCAUACAGGAUGGCUUUGCUGCAAUGGGGUUCCCUAACUGUCGUGGGGCGAUAGAUGGCAUGCAUAUCCCCAUCUUGGCACCAGACCACCUUGCCAACCAGUACAUAAACGGCAAGGGGUACUUCUCAAUGGUGCUGCAAACACUGGUGGAUCACAAGGGACGUUUCACCGACAUCAAUGUGGGAUUGCUGGGAAAGGUACAUGAUGCUUGCAUAUUUAGGAACUCCGGACUGUUCCUUCUUGCAACUUCUCGGACUUACUUCCCAGACCAGAAAAUUACCAUUGAGGAAGUUGAAAUGCCAAUAUUUAUCCUUGGGGACCCAGCCUACCCCUUGCUCCCAUGGCUCAUGAAGCUGUACACCGGCAGGCUGGACAGUAAGUAGUAAGGAGUAGUUCAACUAUAGGCUGAGCAAGUGCAGAAUGGUGGUAGAAUGUGCCUUUGGAUGUUUAAAAGAUUGCUGACUAGGUCAGACCUCAGUGUAACCAACAUUCCCAUUGUUAUUGCGGCUUGCUGUGUGCUCCAUAAUAUCUGUGAGAGUAAGGGGGAGACGGUUAUGGCGGGGUGGGAGGUUGAGGCAAAUCACCUGGUGGCCGAUUUUGAGCAGACACCAGCGUGAUUAGAAGAGCACAGCAAGGCAUGCUGCGCAUCAGAGAGGUUUUGAAAACCAGUUUCAUGACUGGCCAGGCUAUGGUUUGACUGUUGUGUGUGUUUCUCCUUGAUGCAAACCCACCCACCUUGGUUGAUCUUUAAUUCCCUGUAACCAAACCACCCUUCCUCCCUCCCCCCUUCGAAAUAAAGUAAUUAUUGUUUUGAAACCAUGCAUUAUUUCUUUUAUUAAUUAAAAAAAAAAAGUGAGAUAACUGACAAGGUAGCCCGGGUGGGGUGGGGGAGGAGGGAAGGACAAGGCUACAUUGCCUUUUGUAGCCACACUACAAAUCAAACUGUUUGAAUGGCAACCUUCUGUUGCUUUGGCCAUCCUCUGUAGUGGAGUGGCUGGGUGCCCGGAGCCUCCCUCCAUGCAUUCUUGGGCGUCUGGGUGAGGAGGAUAUGGAACUUGGGGAGGAGGUCAGCCGGUUAUACAAUGGAUGCUGUGGAAGGUCUGUGCUCGUGUUGGCUUUCUUGCAGCUCCACCAGAUGUUUCAUCAUGUCCGUUUGCUUCCCCCAUUAGCCUCAGCAUCGCCUCCUGCCUUUGCUCUUCGCGCUCAAUUAAUGCUUUCCUGGCCUCUAACACUGAAUGCCUCCAUGCAUUAAGCUGCGCUCUAUCAGUGCGGGAGGUCUGCAUGAGCUCAGCAAACAUGUCAUCGCGAGUGCAUGUUUUUCACCUUCUAAUCUGUGAUAACCUCAGGAAGGAGAUGAUAGGGGGAGCAUAGAAACAUAGAAAGGAGUUUGCAUGGGAGUUAGCCUGGGGAGAGCCCACUGAGGCUUACAUCUUGCCGGCUUCUCUGAGUAGUUACUACAACUCCUGAGGAAGCUCGUAGAAGGAAGGCGAUAUGGAUGGGGGGUGUUCAGCUGUUGUGACCUGCACUGGAUGUG